CCAUUGAAAGCUAUCUAAGCGCAAGUCUUUUAAACUUGAGAUGUGUAAUUUUACACUCAAAGGA
rnacentral:tRNA from 1 species